UUCUACUGAUUUGAAGAGCUUGCUCAGAUAUGACGAUGGACAUUGCAAAGAGUGGCGAACGGGUGAGUAACACGUGGGAAACCUACCUCUUAGCAGGGGAUAACAUUUGGAAACAGAUGCUAAUACCGUAUAACAAUGACAACCGCAUGGUUGUUAUUUAAAAGAUGGUUCUGCUAUCACUAAGAGAUGGUCCCGCGGUGCAUUAGCUAGUUGGUAAGGUAAUGGCUUACCAAGGCGAUGAUGCAUAGCCGAGUUGAGAGACUGAUCGGCCACAAUGGGACUGAGACACGGCCCAUACUCCUACGGGAGGCAGCAGUAGGGAAUCUUCCACAAUGGGCGAAAGCCUGAUGGAGCAACGCCGCGUGUGUGAUGAAGGGUUUCGGCUCGUAAAACACUGUUGUAAGAGAAGAAUGACAUUGAGAGUAACUGUUCAAUGUGUGACGGUAUCUUACCAGAAAGGAACGGCUAAAUACGUGCCAGCAGCCGCGGUAAUACGUAUGUUCCAAGCGUUAUCCGGAUUUAUUGGGCGUAAAGCGAGCGCAGACGGUUAUUUAAGUCUGAAGUGAAAGCCCUCAGCUCAACUGAGGAAUUGCUUUGGAAACUGGAUGACUUGAGUGCAGUAGAGGAAAGUGGAACUCCAUGUGUAGCGGUGAAAUGCGUAGAUAUAUGGAAGAACACCAGUGGCGAAGGCGGCUUUCUGGACUGUAACUGACGUUGAGGCUCGAAAGUGU
rnacentral:rRNA from 1 species